rnacentral:rRNA from 1 species
GAUGAACGCUAGCGGCAGGCUUAAUACAUGCAAGUCGAGGGGUAGCAAGAUUGUAGCAAUACAAUUGUUGACGACCGGCAAACGGGUGCGGAACACGUACACAACCUUCCUACAAGUGGGGAAUAGCCCAGAGAAAUUUGGAUUAAUACCCCGUAACAUAGCGAUGUGGCAUCACAUUGCUAUUAUAGCUUCGGCGCUUGUUGAUGGGUGUGCGGCUGAUUAGAUAGUUGGCGGGGUAACGGCCCAACAAGUCUACGAUCAGUAGCUGAUGUGAGAGCAUGAUCAGCCAACCGGGGACUGAGACACGGGCCCGACUCCUACGGGAGGCAGCAGUAAGGAAUAUUGGACAAUGGACGCAAGUCUGAUCCAGCCAUGCCGCGUGAAGGAUUAAGGUCCUCUGGAUUGUAAACUUCUUUUAUAAGGGACGAAAAAAGGUCUUUCUAGAUCGUCUGACGGUACCUUAUGAAUAAGCACCGGCUAACUCCGUGCCAGCAGCCGCGGUAA